GGUCCUGUGGUGUAGCGGUUAACAUGCCUGCCUGUCACGCAGGAGAUCGCGGGUUCGAUUCCCGUCUGGACCGCCA
rnacentral:tRNA from 1 species